CUUUUUCUUUUGAGACAGAGUCUCUCUCUGUCACCCAGGCUGGAGUGCAGUGGCACAAUCUCGACUCACUGCAACCUCCACCUCCCAGGUUCAAGCAGUCCUCCUGUCUCAACCCCCCAAGUAGCUGGGUUUACAGGUGAGCAUCACUGCACCUGGCUAAUUUUUGUAUUUUUAGUAGAGAUGGGUUUUCACCACGUUGGCCAGGAUGACAUCGAACUCCUGACCUCAAGGGAUCCAUCUGCCUCAGCCUCCAAAACUGCUGGGAUUACAGGCGUGAGCCACUGUGCCUAGCCCAAAAAUUCUUCUUAGGGGUUAAAUGAAAACUUUAGUUGAGGUAAAGUUGAAAGAGUUUUAAAGAUAAAUAACUAAACUAUUUAGAAAUUAUUAAAAUGAAGGAUGAAGAGUGAGGAGGAGGAUGUUCAGAGAGACCAGUAAACAUGUGCUUAGACAUGUUUUAAAAAUCUGAGCUGGGCAUAUGGCUCACACCUGUAAUCUCAACUACUUGAGAGGCUAAGGCAGGAGGAUCCAUCAAGGCCAGUAGUUCAAGAUGAGUGUGGGCAACACAGUAAGAACUCCUCCCCGUGACAACAUCUCUAAAAAAUAAAGAAAACAAUAAGAUGCUGACCAAGUGUGGUGUUGUCCAUAUAUAACCCCAGCUACUCAGGAGUCUGAGGAGAGAAGAUCACUUGAGCCCAGGAGUUCAAGGCCAGCCUGGGCAACAUGGUGAGACUCUGCCUCUAAAGAAUAAAAUAGGCCAGGCAUGGUGGUUCAAAGGGCUAGGGCAAAAAAAGAAAGUUAAAAAAAAAAAACUUCUUGCAUAGUUGUCUAGCAGAGUCAAAGAUAUUAUUAUUGUAGGAGAGAAGUAUCUUUUGCUUUAAAGACAGAGUCUCCCUUUGUCACCCAGGCUGGAGUCCAGUGGCAAAAUCAUAGCCCACUGCAGCCUUGAUCUCCUGGCCUCAAGAGUUCCUCUUGCCUGGAUCCUCCCUCUUAGGCCUUCCAAGUAGCUGAUUCUACAGGUGCCAAACACCAUGUCUAGCUGAGGAGUAUCUUUCAAAAAUGGAAAAGAAUGAGGACACCACAAAAUUGUAAUAGGAGGUACAGACUAAAAGUUGCUUUUGCGAUAACGUUGCUUUUGCAAGACACAGAGCCAAGGAGUUUAAAAAUAACUCAGAAAAGGAAUAAGAAAGCUGUUGUCCAAAUUUGUGGCCUCUGAUUUUGGCUGGCCACUGGGUUGCAGGAAAAAUGAGCUGCAAGUGUGGUUUGUGUUCAUGAAAAGGCCUUCAGAAAGGACCUUAGGUAAUAACAGUUAUGCACAAUCAUGUAGUAUAUAUAAUAGUAAUAAAGAUACUCUCAUUGUUAAUAUCAAUAUUUACAUAGACCUUUGUUAUGCUUAGUAUUAUAUAUAUUUGGCACUGUCCUAAGCAUUUUAGUGUUUGAACUCAUUUUGUCUUCACAGUACCCCUAAGAAGCAAGCACUGUUAUCAGCUCUGUUUCACAGAUAAGAAAAAUGAAGCACAGGAAGGUUGAGUAAUGUCUCAGAUUUCUAAUGUCACAUAGCUAGUAAGUGACAGAGCCAAUUUGUAUCCAGGUUACUUUACUCUGGAAUUCAUGCUGUUAACCACUGUAUUAUACUGCCUUUACAGCCAAAAUAUCCCCUCAGGCAGUAGUUCACAAAGUGUAUUCCUUUCAAGAAGUCUAGGAAGUCAAAAUUAUUUUCAUAAUAAUGCGAAGAUUUUCUUUCUUUUUUUUUUUCCUUUUUUUUCAGAAUCUUGCUCUGUUGCUUAGGCUAGAGUGCAGUGGUGCAAUCUCCACCUCCCAGAUUCAAGUGAUUCUCAUGGCUCAGCCUCCUGAGCAGCUGGGAGUACAGGCAUGUGCUACCACACCCAGCUAAUUUUCAUAUUUUUUUGGUAGAGACAGGCUUUUCCAUGUUGGCCAGGUUGGUCUCAAGUUCCUGGUCUCAAGUGAUCUGCCUGCCUUGGUCUCCCAAAGUGCUGGGAUUACAAGUGUGAGCCAUGGUGCCCUGCCUAAUAUCAAAUUUAUUUGUUUGUUUUGCCUGUUUUGCUUUCAUUCUGAAUAUGCAGAGGAGUUUUCCACAGGGUACAAGACAUGUAAUAGCAUCGUCACUCUAAGAGCUAACAGAAAAUGUGCUUGUAUAGUCUUGUAUUUUCUAGAAGGUGGAUGAUAAUAAACUUCUGGGAGUUAAAAGAACUUGUUCUAACCCAAUGUAAAAAAACUAAGAACUCUGAAAAAAGGUUUGACAAAAUGCUAACAAGAAUAGACAAUAUAGAGAGGAAUAUAAAUGAACUAACGGAGUUGAAAAACACAACACGAGAACUUAGCAAAAUAUGCAAAAGUUUGAAUAGCCGAAUUGAUCAAGCAGAAGAAAGGAUAUCAGAGGUCGAAGACCAACUUAAUGAAAUAAAACGAGAAGACAAGAAUAGAGAAAAAAGGAUAAAAAGAAAUAAGCAAAGUCUCCAAGAAAUAUGGGACUAUGUGAAAAGAACUAAUUUACAUUUGAUAGGUGUACCUGAAUGUGACAGAGAGAAUGAAUCCAAGCUGGAAAAUACUCUCCAGGAUAUUAUUCAGGAAAACUUUCCCAAUCUAGCAAAGCAGGACAAUAUUCAAUCCCUGGUAAUACAGAGAACACCACAAAGAUAUUCCUCAAGAAGAGCAACCACAAGGCACAUAAUUGUCAGAUUCACCAGGGUUGAAAUGAGGGAGAAAAUACUAAGGGCAGCCAGAGAGAAAGGUCAGGUUACCCACAAAGGGAAGCCUAUUAGACUUACAGCAGAUCUCUCAGCAGAAACCCUACAAACCAGAAGAGAGUGGGGGCCAAUAUUCAACAUCCUUAAAGAACAGAACUUUCAGCCCAAAAUUUCAUAUCCUGCCAAACUAAGCUUCACAAUUGAAGGAAAAAUAAAAUCUUUUAUGAACAAGCAAGUACUCAGAGAGUUUAUUACCACCAGGCCUGCUUUGCAAGAGCUUCUAAAAGAAGCAUUAUACAUAGAAAGGAACAACCAGUAUUAGCCUUUCUAAAAAUAUACCAAAAAGUAAACAGCAUCAACAUAAAGAAGAAUUUAUAUCAAUGAAUGGAUAAAACAGCCAGUUAACAUCAAAUGGCAGUAAUCCUAAAUUUAAGUCGACUAAAUCCCCCAAUCAAAAGAUACAGCCAAAACCUAAUGAUAUGCUGCAUCCAGACCCAUUUCACAUCCAAAGAUACACAAAGACUCAAAACAAAGGGAUGGAGAAAGACUUACCAACCAAAUGGAGAGCAAAAAUAAAUAAAUAAAUACAUAAAUAAAUAAAUAAAAAGCAAGAGUUACAAUUCUCGCAUCUGAUAAAAUAGAUUUCAAAGCAACAAAGACAUAGUGGUAAAAGGAUCAAUGCAACAAUAAGAGCUAACGAUCCUAACACCCAGAUACAUAAGACCCAUAAAGAGAUUUAGACUCAACAAGACAGAAAAUUGAUGAGGACAACCAGGACUUGAACUCAGAUCCGGAACAAGUAAACUUAAUAAAUAUUUAUAGAGCUCUCCAUUUUAAAUACACAAAGUAUACAUUCUCCACUUUAAAUACACAAAAUAUUGAUUGGCCAUUAUUAAUAAUACCCAUUUUUAGAAUAAAGCAAUAUUCCCGUUUUCUCUCCCUCUUUUUCUUCCUCUUUCUUCCUCUCCUUCACUCCUUUUUUUCUCUUUAAAAAAAAAAAAAAGAAGAAAAGAAAAAAAAAUACAAAACUUAGCCAGGCGUAGUGGCGUGCCUCUGUAGUCCCAGCUACUCAGGAGGCUGAGGCAAGAGGAUCACCUGAACCCAGGAGGCGGAGGUUGCAGUGAGCUGAGAUUGCACCAUUGCACUCCAGCCUAGGAAACAGGAGAAAAAUAGGCAGAGGACCUGAAUAGACGUUUCUCAAAAGAAGACCUACAAAUUGUCAACAGGUAUAUGAAAAAAUGCUCACUGGCCAGACGUGGUGGCUCACACCUGUAAUCCCAGCACUUUGGGAGGCUGAGGCAGGUGGAUCACGAGGUCAGAAGUUAGAGACCAUGCUGGCUAACACAGUGAAACCCCAUCUCUAUUAAAAAUACAAAAAAUUAGCUGGGCAUGGUGGCAUAUAUCUGUACUCCCAGCUACUCAGGAGGCUGAGGCAGGAGAAUCUCUUGGACCUGGGAGGUGGAGGUUGCAGUUAGCCAAGAUUGUGCCACUGCAUUCCAGGCUGGGCGACAAAGCGAGACUCCAUCUCAAAAAAAAAAAAAUGCUCAACAUCCCAUUAGUCAGUGGGGAAAUGCAAAUUAAAACCACAGAAAUUGCUAUCACCUCACACCUGUUAAAAUUGCUGUUAUCAAAGACAAAGGUGUUGGUGAGAAUGUGAAGAGAUAAUAACCAUUGCACACUGUUGGUGGAAAUGUAAAUUAAUACAGCCAUUAUAGAGAAGAGUAUGUAGGUCUGUAUUAGUCCUUUCUCCCACUGCUAUAAAGAAGUACCUGAGACUGGGUAAUUUAUAAAGAAAACAGAUUUAGUUGACUCACGGUUCGGCAGGCUGUACAAGAAGCAUGGCUGGGGAAGCCUCAGGAAACUUACAAUCAUGGUAGAAGGUGAAGGGGAAGCAAGCAUGCUGGAGAAAGAGAAAGAAAGUGAAGGAGGACAUGCUACACACUUUUAAACAACCAGAUCUCGCAAAAACUCACUAUCACAAGAACUGCAAGAGGGAAAUCCACCCCCAUGAUCAAUCACCUCCCACCAGGCCCAUCCUCCAACACUGAAGUUUACAAUCCCAUAUGAGAUUUAGGUGGGAACACAGACCCAAACCAUAUCAAGGUCCCUCAAAAAUGUAAAAAUACAAUUACCGUAUAUUCCAGCAAUUCCUCUUCUGGGUAUAAAUUCAAAAGAAUUGAAAUCAGGAUAUCAAAGAGAUAUUUGUGUGCACCUGUGUUCAUGGUAGUACCACUCACAUGGAAGUAACCAAGUGCUAUCCAUGGAUUAAUGGAUAAACAAAAUGUGGUGUAUAUAUACAACUGAAUACUACCGAGCCAUUAAAAAGCAGGAAAUCCUGUCAUUUGAAAAACAUGGAUGAACCUGGAGGAUAUGAUGUUAAGUUAAAUAGGCCAGGCACAGAAAGACAAAUCUCACAUGAUCUCAUGCAUGUGGGGAAUCUUAAAAACAUUAAACUCAUGGAAGUAGAGAGUAGAAUGGUGGAUACCAAGGGCUAGUGCUAUGGUAGAAAGGGAGCUAGGGAGAUGUUUGUCAAAGGAUACAAAAUUUCAGUUAGGAGAAAUAAGUUCAAAUAUCUAUUGUACAGCAUGGUGACUACAGUUGAUAACAAUACAUUGUAUUCUUGAAACAUUUUAAGGGAGUUAAUUUCAAGUGUUCUCACCACAAAAUGACAACUAUGUGAGAAAUUCCAGGUUAAUUAGCUUGAUUUAGCCAUUCCACUAUAUAUAUAUCGUGUUGUACAUAUACAAUGUUAUCUGUCAAUUUAAAAAAAACACUGUUUUUUUUCUAUCAUGGUAUUGCCUCUUUUAUUUGCUCUCCUUCUAUGUCAGUGGGAGUUAGGUCUAAUCAUAUAUAAUGGAAAACCCAAAUUUAAGCAGCAUAUAUAAAAUAGGAUUUGUUUUCUUCUAUAUGAAAGAAGUGGCCGGGCGCAGUGGCUCACGCCUGUAAUCCCAGCACUUUGGGAGGCCAAGGCGGGUGGAUCACCAGGUCAAGAGAUAGAGACCAUCCUGGCCAACAUGGUGAAACCCCAUCUCUACUAAAAAUGCAAAAAAAAUUAGCUGGGCGUGGUGGCACACCCCUGUAGUCCCAGCUACUCAGGAGGCUGAGGCAGGAGAAUUGCUUGAACCCAAGAGGCGGAGGUUGCAGUGAGCCGAGGUUUCACCACUGCACUCCAGCCUGGCGCCUGGUGACAGAGUGAGACUCUGUCUCAAAAAAAAAAAAAAAAAAAAGUCCAGAAGUAGAUAUAGUUCCAGAUAGUCACUAGGGACCCAGGCUCCUUCUGUCUUCCUGCUCUGCCAUUCUUAGGGCAAAACUUCCAUCCUCAAGGUCACUCAUGACCCAGCAUGGCAAUUCUAACUGCAGUCUUCAUUUUAUCUUAGUUCCAGAGAGGAAAAAGGAGAAAGUAGGGGGCAGGGAGUGCCAAAGGAAAUAAAUCCCCAGCUUUUUUCCACACCAUUGCCCUAAAAAUAUUUUUAUUAAUUACCUUCAUUUCCCUGUAUUUCAUAUUAAAUGUUCUGUUCUCAUCUGAACUCUCAGCGACAUGUGAUAUACUUGACCUCACCACACUUUUUGAAAGAAUGCUUUCAUCUGGUAUCAGAGACUCCACAUUCUUCUUGUUUCUUUGUACUUCAUUGGCUACUUCUUCUUAGUCUUCUUUGUUGGAUCCUCCUUGUCUUCCCAAUUUAAAUAUCAAUUGCCUCUGGCUUCAUUUCUUGCUCCUCUCUUUUAUAUACACUGUUUCCCUAAUGAUCUCAUCCAGGCCCAUGAUGUUAAAUACUUAUGUUGCUGCCUUUCCUCGCCGCCUGCCAAGGGCUCCAGAUGGCAUUGUUCUGGAUUGCUCUUUUCUUUCAGAUUCCCAUCAUAAAGGGAAACUUUCACAAUGUCCAGAGCCUUUGAUGUCCUGCAAAUGAAGGAGGAGGAUGUCCUUAAGUUCCUGGCAGGCAGCAGAAACCCAUUUAGGUGGCACCAACCUUGACUUCCAGAUGGAACAGUAUAUCUACAAAAAGAAAAGUGAUGGCAUCUACAUCAUAAAUCUGAAGAGGACCUGGGAGAAGCUUCUCCUGGCAGCUGGUGCCAUUGUUGCCAUUGAAAACCCUACUGAUGUCAGUGUUAUAUCCUCCAGGAAUACUGGCCAGAGGGCCGUGCUGAAGUUUGCUGCUGCCACUGGAGCCACUCCAAUUGCUGGCCACUUCACUCCUGGAACCUUCACCAACCAGAUCCAGGCAGCCUUCCAGGAGCCACGGCUACUUGUGGUUACAGACCCAGGGGCUGACUACCAGCCUCUCACGGAGGCAUCUUAUGUUAACCUACCUACCAUUGCUCUGUGUAACACAGAUUCUCCUCUACGCUAUGUGGACAUUGCCAUCCCAUGCAACAACAAGGGAGCUCACUCAGUGGGUUUGAUGUGGAUGCUUGGCACAUGCAUGGCACCAUUUCUUGUAAACACCCAUGGGAGGUCAUGCCUCAUCUCUACUUCUACAAAAAUCCUGAAGAGAUUAAAAAAGAAGAGCAGGCUGCUGCUGAAAAGGCUGUGACCAAGGAGGAAUUUCAGGGCGAAUGGACUGCUCCAGCUCCUGAGUUCACUGCUACUCAGCCUGAGGUUGCUGACUGGUCUGAAGGUGUGCCAGUACCCUCUGUGCCUAUCCAGCAGUUCCCUACUGAAGACUGGAGCACACAGCCUGCCACGGAAGACUGGUCUGCAGCUCCCACUGCUCAGGCCACUGAAUGGGUAGGAGCAACCACUGAAUGGUCUUAAGCUGUUCUUGCAUGGGCUCGUAAGCAACAUGGAAAUAAGAUUGAUGGAAAAUAAACAUUGAGUUUCUAAAAAAA